CUGGUACAGGUACGGGGAGGCA
rnacentral:miRNA from 8 species